UGUCUUCUAAAUAAAGACCAGUAUGAAUGGCUAAAUGAGGACAAACCUGUCUCUUACAGCUAAUCAGUGAAACUGAUUAUCCAGUACAAAAGCUGGAAUAAACCCAUAAGACGAGAAGACCCUGUGGAGCUUAAAACCAACAACUAAUAAACACCCAUAAAGUGAACCUAGUCUUAAGUUUUGAGUUGGGGCGACUUCGGAACAAAACAAAACUUCCGAGCACAGAACCACCACUUCUCACCAAGGCUAACAAGCCAAAGUAUAUACCGACCCAGUCACACUGAUCAACGAACCAAGUUACCCCAGGGAUAACAGCGCUAUCUUCUUCAAGAGUCCCUAUCGACAAGAAGGUUUACGACCUCGAUGUUGGAUCAGGACACCCAAAUGGUGUAGCCGCUAUUAAAGGUUCGUUUGUUCAACGAUUAACAGU
rnacentral:rRNA from 1 species